rnacentral:rRNA from 1 species
AGUCAAUAGAUACCCAGGUAGUCCACGCCGUAAACGAUGCGCACUAGACCGGUGCGGUUUUGACGCCGUAUCGGUCGUAGUAAAAAAAACGAUAAGUGCGCCGCCUGGGGAGUACGGUCGCAAGGCUAAAACUCAAAUGAAUUGACGGGGGCGUCACACAAGCGGUGGAGCAUGUUGCUUAAUUCGAGGCAACGCGAAGAACCUUACCUGGGUUUGUACAUGCUGGGACGUAACUCCAUGAAAGUGGAGCCACAGUCGCAAGACCGGAACCAGCACAGGUGCUGCAUGGCUGUCGUCAGCUCGUGCUGUGAAGUGUCAGGUUAAGUCCUUUAACGAGCGCAACCCCUAUCGUUAGUUGCUCGGCGCAAGCCAGUACUCUAGCGAGACUGCCGUCGUCAAGACGGAGGAAGGUGGGGAUGACGUCAGGUCCUCAUGGCCCUUACAUCCAGGGUUGCAAACGUGCUACAAUGGCGCGCACAAAGCGACGCAAGGCCGCGAGGCGGAGCAAACUCGCAAAAAAACCGCGCCCCGA